rnacentral:rRNA from 1 species
CAGAGAGUGCUUGCACUUUGCUGACGACCGGCGCACGGGUGCGUAACGCGUAUGCAACCUACCUUUUACAGGAGGAUAGUCAAUAGAAAUGUUGAAUAAUACUCCAUACGAUCUUUGAGUGGCAUUACUUAAAGAAGAAAGCUUUUGCGGUAAAAGAUGGGCAUGCGUCCUAUUAGUUAGUUGGUGAGGUAACGGCUCACCAAGACAUCGAUAGGUAGGGGCCCUGAGAGGGGGAUCCCCCACACUGGUACUGAGACACGGACCAGACUCCUACGGGAGGCAGCAGUGAGGAAUAUUGGACAAUGGAGGCAACUCUGAUCCAGCCAUGCCGCGUGCAGGAAGACUGCCCUAUGGGUUGUAAACUGCUUUUAUACAGGAAGAAACCUACUUACGUGUAAGUAGCUGACGGUACUGUAAGAAUAAGGAUCGGCUAACUCCGUGCCAGCAGCCGCGGUAAUACGGAGGAUCCAAGCGUUAUCCGGAAUCAUUGGGUUUAAAGGGUCCGUAGGUGGUUUAUUAAGUCAGAGGUGAAAUCCUAUCGCUCAACGAUAGAACUGCCUUUGAAACUGAUAGACUUGAGUUAUUGUGAAGUAGUUAGAAUAUGUAGUGUAGCGGUGAAAUGCAUAGAUAUUACAUAGAAUACCGAUUGCGAAGGCAGAUUACUAACAAUAUACUGACACUGAGGGACGAAAGCGUGGGUAGCGAACAGGAUUAGAUACCCUGGUAGUCCACGCCGUAAACGAUGGUCACUAGCUGUUUGACUAACAUUGGUUAGUUGAGUGGCUAAGCGAAAGUGAUAA